CUUCUGUGUGAUCGAGGCUGCCCUGGGAACCCAAGCCCAGACCCCAGCAGGGAGAGACCCGGAUCUGGACCGCUGUUGCCCAAACUAGCUCAGGUCAAGUGAUUGGGAAAGUGACAUUGCUCAGUCGCGUCGGACUCUUUUGCAACCCCCUGAACUGUAGCCUACCAGGCUUCUUCCAUGGGAUUUUUCAGGCACGAGUACUGGAGUGGGUUGCCAUUUCCUUCUCCAGGGUGACGGUGGAUUUUGAGAUGAGAUCAACCUGGAUUAAGAUUUCCUUCCCGUUUAGGUCACCAUGGAGCACUGAGUAGAGUUUCCUGUGCUAUACGGCGGAUUCUUUUCUGGCUGAGCCACCGGGAAGGCCCCAUACGUUAACCUAGUACAAAACUGAAAAUGCUUGUUGUGAGAAGUCUCCUUCAUUUCCUG
ensembl:lncRNA